AAUGGGAUGGCUGAUUUAGGCGGUAAGUUGUAAAUUUAUUUAAGGAUUUAAUUCCUCUCAUUA
rnacentral:tRNA from 1 species